rnacentral:lncRNA from 1 species
CUCGAUUCAAACACUUGGCAGAGAUACAAUAGACAAAGAUACAUCAACAAACACACAUACACCAAUACAUUUAAUCAAGAUUUGAAAAUCUUGCAAUGUAUGGUAAUAAGGUUUCGAAAAGAUCGCACUUUUCGUAUCUUCUCCGCCACAUCGCAGAGAUAGGAGUCAAUCAUAAAACGGUAAAUUGCUGAGGCUAUAUGAUUUGGCUGCUCUAAAGGCAGCGAGCUGGCAGAAACGUUAGCACGCCGGGCGAAAUUCUUAGCGGUAUUUCGUCUGCCGUUACGUUCUGAGUUCAAAUUCCGCCGAGGUCGACGUUGCUUUUCAUCCUUUCGGGGUCGAUUAAGUAAGUACCAGUUACGCACUGGGGUCGAUAUAAUCAACUUAAUCCGUUUGUCUGUCUUUGUUUGUCCCCUCUGUGUUUAGCCCCUUGUGGGUAGAAAAGAAAUAGGUAUUUCGUCUGCCGUUACGUUCUGAGUUCAAAUUCCGCCGAGGUCGACUUUGCUUUUCAUCCUUUCGGGGUCGAUAAAUUAAGUACCAGUUAUGCACUGAGGUUGACUUUGACUUUCAUCCUUUCGGGGUCGAUAAAUUAAGUACCAGUUACGCACUGAAGUCGAUGUAAUCGACUUAAUACCUUUGUCUGUCCUUGUUUUUCCCCUCUAUGUUUAUCCCCUUGUGGGUAGAAAAGAAAUAUAUAUGAUUUGGCUGCUUCCAUACUUCGAAACACAAAAUAUA